UAUAAGAGAUUUUAAGUUUUUACUUGUAAUGUUUGACCACUCGUUUUAUUCAAAAAAAUUUGACAUUAUUAUUUAUUUUAUUUGUGACUUACUUUAUUAUCUAUAGUACUUUAAGCACAACUUUUCAUUUUUUAUAUUUGCAAAAAAAAUUUGAAUAAGACGAGUGGUCAAACGUUGCAAACAAAAACUCA
rnacentral:pre_miRNA from 1 species